CUGAAUCGAACUGCUUCCUAUGUAACCUCCGAACCGAACCAAACCGUCUCUCUCUCCCCAUUUUGGUUUCUCAAACGGCAAUGGUGCUUCCUUUCCUUCCCAUGCGUUAUUUCCUCUUCCCCUUCAGUUACAGCAUUUUUUCCCUCUCCCCUCAUCCUCAACAUCUCCGAUCACCACAUCCGCGUCGAAGCCCAGACCCAGCACCUUUCCUCCCCGCCACGGACAGAGGCGGCGGCCCAGCACCUUUCGUCCGCCUGAGCCUCCGCCUCUGCCUCCUCCUCCACCACGACUGACAACGACGCCAACGUCGGGUGAGUUGAACUCUAACCCUAGCUCCCAACUCUUCUCCCUCGAUCUCGGCCUCCGUGUCGAAGAUUUGUGGGUUUUCAAUCCUCCUCACAUGUCAGUCUUUGCCCUAAAAAUCCUAUCAGGUGUGAUCUCUUCAUUAAUUUUUGUAUCAAUUUAUGCUUUGUUUCUUGAAUUUGUGUUCAAUCCUCCGUUUCAGUUCCUCUGUUUCUUGAUCCCUAAUUCUCUUUUAGUUGAUUUUAAGUCUUUUUAUUAUUAUUAUUAUUUUGGUUUGCAGGUGUGGGAUUGGAAACGAUUUGCGCCAUACUUUGUCGAUAUAUAUCCUUUUCUAAUUUGGGGUUCCAAUUCAUGAGGCAAUGUAUUUUCUUUCCUUUUUUUAUUUGAUUCCUUAAUUAAUGUGGCACGGUUUUAGGUUUUGGGGUUUAUGUGAUCACUAUAGUUGCAGUUCAUGUAGGUUUUUUCAAUAGGAAUGAUGGUUAAAAAAUCGUGGUGAUUGCCUAAUUAGUGGUUCUCAAGAGUCCUUUUUAAUGCAUUUGUAUAUGUUUAAAUUUGGAAAAUUCGAUAUAGAUGAGGCUGCACUGCUUAAAACUAACAUCUUGAAAUGUGGAGGUUUUGGAUUGGCUUAAAAAUUGAUAUCUUGAAAUGAUAUUCUUUUUAAAAUAGAACAUGGACUACUGAAUGGAUAAAUAAAUAUGAGUACAUCAUAGUGCUGUAACUGAGUAGGUGAGGUUGUACAAUGAUUUCGCUAUUGACUUUGACUAUCAGAAAUUCUUUUUUGCAUCAAUUAAUGCUUUUGUAAAUUUGCACUGUGAUCGGCGAUAGGCUUAAGGUUUUAAAAAGUAGUUGGAGUGCUGGAACUUUAGAACCUUUCUAUUGUGUUUGCUAUGCUUAAGUAUCUCAAGAAAUUUGUAUUUUUCUUUUCUUUUGGGUUGAUUCUUAUGAUUUCUUAUACAUAUUCUUCUUUCCCUAUAGGGUGAACUACUCGGAACUGAUUGGUAUCGUUUAGGAAUUGCGUGUUUCAUGCAUAAUAAUAUAUUUCAAUAUUUAUACUUAAAAUUAUUUUGUACUGUCCAGUUUGACGCCACAUUUUGCACUUAUAGUACUAGCAAUCAGGUGACUUUGUAGAUUGAUUGUGCCCUUCUCAAUUAGGGUUGCCUUUAGAGACAAUUAUGCUUAUUCUCAAGGAAUUUGGAUCCGCCGAUGAGUAAUUUAGUGAUUGUUGAGCUCAUCAUGAUAUUUGAUAUAGAUCUAUGAGAUAUUUUUCAUGCUUUGUUGGUUAGUUGAUCUGGUUAGUUGAUCUGUAUGUGUAGUGUUUCUGUAAGAAUUAGGAAUGGUAUGUAGUUUUAGCAGGUUCAUAUUUAGGACGAUUUGGCCUGAAGGGAGAAGAAAAUAGUUAGGGACAACCAUAAAUG
rnacentral:lncRNA from 1 species